UACGAAGGGGGCUAGCGUUGUUCGGAUUUACUGGGCGUAAAGCGCACGUAGGCGGAUCGAUCAGUCAGGGGUGAAAUCCCAGAGCUCAACUCUGGAACUGCCUUUGAUACUGUCGAUCUGGAGUAUGGAAGAGGUGAGUGGAAUUCCGAGUGUAGAGGUGAAAUUCGUAGAUAUUCGGAGGAACACCAGUGGCGAAGGCGGCCACCUGGACGGUAACUGACGCUGAGACGCGAAAGCGUGGGGAGCAAACAGG
rnacentral:rRNA from 1 species